UAAUACCAGCGGUCCGAGUCGCAGCCAUUUUUAUUGGGUCUAAAACAUCCGUAGCUUGUUUAGUAAGUCUCUUGUUAAAUCUGGCCUCUCAAGGGUCAGGCCGCAAGAGAUACUGCUUGACUAGGGACCGGGAGACGUAAGGAGUACGGAUAGGGUAGCGGUCAAAUGUGUUGAUCCUUUCUGGACUAACAAUAGCGAAGGCACCUUACGAGAACGGAUCCGACAGUGAGGGAUGAAGGCUAGGGGCGCAAAACGGAUUAGAUACCCGUGUAGUCCUAGCAGUAAACACUGCACACUAAACAUUGGGGCCUCUUCGAGAGGUUUCAGUGCUGUAGCGAAGGCGUAGAGUGUGCUACCUGGGAAGUAUAGUCGCAAGGCCG
rnacentral:rRNA from 2 species